GAGAAGUACUACCUGGUAUGCUACUCUUACUGGUUAUGUGCUAGAGGCUUAUAAUUUCGAUGCUUAUAUCUUGCUCUUGAAAGUGAUGAAAAUCUGUUUUACUUGCACAAGGAAGCUAGGGAAGCAAACUAAGAAAAUUUGUCCAACAGGUUAUCCGUACUGCCUAGGUCUCCUAGCCUGAAAUCUGUUAGAGAUAUUGGUAGUUGGAGGGAAACCUGCAUCUCUACGAUGUAGCUUGAAUGGGAUUUUAUGGUGUAUAUAUGUUAUGUGACUACUAGUUUAAUGAACUAGAUAGGGAAGGAAGCUAUACAGAAAUACGAGGUAAUGUGCACUACGUAGUUAAGAAAAUCUGUGUUAUUGGCAUUACUAGUUGUACCU
rnacentral:lncRNA from 1 species